CCUACGGGAGGCAGCAGUGGGGAAUAUUGGGCAAUGGGCGCAAGCCUGACCCAGCAACGCCGCGUGAAGGAAGAAGGCUUUCUGGUUGUAAACUUUUUUUAAUAGGGAAGAGCAGAAGACGGUACCUCUUGAAUCAGCCACGGCUAACGACGGGCCAGCAGCCGCGGUAAUACGUAGGUGGCAAGCGUUGUCCGGAUUUACUGGGUGUAAAUGGCGUGCAGCCGGGAAGACAAGUCAGAUGUGAAAUCCCGCGGGUCAACCGCGGAACUGCAUUUGAAACUGUUUUUCUUGAGUACCGGAGAGGUCAUCGGAAUGCCUUGUGUAGCGGUGAAAUGCGUAGAUAUAAGGAAGAACACCAGUGGCGAAGGCGGAUGACUGGACGGCAACUGACGGUGAGGCGCGAAAGCGUGGGGAGCAAACAGGAUUAGAUACCCUAGUAGUC
rnacentral:rRNA from 1 species